rnacentral:rRNA from 1 species
GACGAACCGUGCGAACGUUGUUCGGGAUCACUGGGCUUAAAGGGCGCGUAGGCGGGUCGGAAAGUCCGCGGUGAAAUCCCCCCGCUCAACGGGGGAACGGCCGCGGAUACUGCCGGCCUCGAGGGGGGUAGGGGCGAGCGGAGCGCUGGGUGGAGCGGUGAAAUGCGUUGAUAUCCAGCGGAACUCCGGUGGCGAAGGCGGCUCGCUGGACCCCCACUGACGCUGAGGCGCGAAAGCCAGGGGAGCGAACGGG